UGAACGCUGGCGGCGUGCCUAAUACAUGCAAGUCGAGCGAACGGACGAGAAGCUUGCUUCUCUGAUGUUAGCGGCGGACGGGUGAGUAACACGUGGAUAACCUACCUAUAAGACUGGGAUAACUUCGGGAAACCGGAGCUAAUACCGGAUAAUAUUUUGAACCGCAUGGUUCAAAAGUGAAAGACGGCCUUGCUGUCACUUAUAGAUGGAUCCGCGCUGCAUUAGCUAGUUGGUAAGGUAACGGCUUACCAAGGCAACGAUGCAUAGCCGACCUGAGAGGGUGAUCGGCCACACUGGAACUGAGACACGGUCCAGACUCCUACGGGAGGCAGCAGUAGGGAAUCUUCCGCAAUGGGCGAAAGCCUGACGGAGCAACGCCGCGUGAGUGAUGAAGGUCUUCGGAUCGUAAAACUCUGUUAUUAGGGAAGAACAUAUGUGUAAGUAACUGUGCACAUCUUGACGGUACCUAAUCAGAAAGCCACGGCUAACUACGUG
rnacentral:rRNA from 1 species